rnacentral:rRNA from 1 species
GAUUGCAGGCUGCAACUCGCCUGCAUGAAGUCGGAAUUGCUAGUAAUCGCAGAUCAGCAUGCUGCGGUGAAUACGUUCCCGGGCCUUGUACACACCGCCCGUCACACCAUGGGAGUCGGUAACACCCGAAGUCGGUAGCCUAACCGUAAGGAGGGCGCCGCCGAAGGUGGGAUUGAUGACUGGGGUGAAGUCGUAACAAGGUACC